rnacentral:rRNA from 1 species
CAGCCCCUCGAGUGGUGGGGAUGAUUAUUUGGCCUAAAGCGUCCGUAGCCGGCCGGGUAAGUUUCCCGUUAAAUCCAACGUCUCAAGCGUUGGACUGCGGGAAAUACUGCCAGGCUAGAGAGUGGGAGAGGUCAGCGGUAUUCUGGGGGUAGGGGCGAAAUCCUUUGAUCCCCGGAGGACCACCAGUGGCGAAGGCUGCUGACUAGAACACGUCUGACGGUCAGGGACGAAAGCUGGGGUAGCGAACCGGAUUAGAGACCCGAGUAGUCC